GUCCUCAGUUUUGUCUUAAGGAUAUGCAAGCAUCUGGACAGCUCCCCACUAUGGAUUUUUAUUCCAUUGCUGCAGUGUAGAGGUACUAUGGAGGUUUGGCAUAAAUAGUUUUCUUUAACUCAAUUUUGUAAGCACCUCUUGGCACCGUACCUCGAGCCCAUAUGUGCAAAUAGGAGAGCUGGAGGACAUGUCUACUUGGGGCGCCAGCCUCUUUCCACUCAAAUGCAGCCUCUCUGUUUAGCAUGGAUUAAAAAAGUACAAAAAAGGACGUGCAGUACAGCGUGACAUCCCAACAGUGCAGGAGCACCAAUGAGGAAUAAAAGCACAGGAAUGGAGGUGCUCCAGUGAUUCCUUCCUUGGGCAGGGCAGUGGUUAGGUGCUCAUUAGGGUCAAUGCCCUUCUCUCUUCUCCAUGCCUAACAUCAUGCAUGGAGCCAACGGGGCUAUGCUGGGACAGGACCCCAUGGGUCACCUCCUUUGCUGGCACAUGGGGAGCAGCUGCUGCCUGCAGAGAAGCCAUCCCAAAGGUCAAGCUCUGCAUGUGCUUUGUCUUAGUCACAGUGGUUUUCCCAUCCCUAAUUGAUAACUGAUGAGAAAACCUUUUGCUCUACGCAUACCUAUGCAUAUGUAUAGAUGUGCACACAGAUGAACACGUGUGUAUAUAAAUGGAUCUCUUUAAAUUUAAAUAGACUUAUGCCCAAGGGCAGGAAGGUGGAUAAAAGGUCGUUACAAAGAGAGGAGAUCCAACACAUCUGUGAGCUCUUUUGUGAGGAUUAAAUCUGUAGCAGGCUGCAUUCAGUGCUAAUACUCCUAUUAAUUUCUAUUUUUCAUUAUUGUUUUCACAUUUGUCAAGCUUCGAUGAAGGGAUAAUGAAGUGAACGGAUGUUAACUGCAAAUUAAUCAUCCCUGUCCUGAUAGCGUAACACAAGUUCCUAUUCACUUACCUUCAUUACUUAGAAAUAGCAACACACGUUACAUAUUCAUAGCAGCAAAACCUGCUGGAUUCCGUAAGAUAGCAAAAGAGAAAAAAAAAAAGAAAAAAAAAAAAAAGAAAAAGACUGACUUAUUUCUAAAGAAAGUAUAGAUACUCGUUGGGAAUGCUGGUUUGAACUCCAAGAGAGAGCUGAGAAAGAUGAAGGUGUAGUGUUGCAAGGAGAGCUUGUGGGAAACCACGCGCAGGUUGGACCUAUGGCUGUGUUUAGCUAUUGAAGGUGAGAUGGUUUGAAGGUCUCUUUUUUUUUUAAACUGGAGUCUGUUUUUUUCUCAUUGUGUGGCAAGAGGUAGGUGUAUCUGUCAGUAAAGAGAUUUUUUUUUUUUUUUGCAAACUUCUUUGCUUUGCUUUGGGACUUGAUUUCUCUGAGCCUGGUUUUGUGGUGGUAUCAGGUUUUUGGGAGCCUAGAGGCUCCUUAGUGCCAGUAUGAAUGGGAACAGAGUGGGUGAGACCUUGGGCUCAUUGAGGUCCUUCCAAGGGACCAGAGAGGAGCUGGAGGUGGGGAUGGAGAGCCCCCCGCCCCAGUGAUGUGUCUGUUCAGGGGUUACAUUGGGAUCUGCUGGAAGAUUUGGGUACAGCUGCUCCCGGAGAUGGGCUUGGAGCACUCGCUUGUUUUCAGCUUGGACUUUGACUCAGGCAAAUGUAUGAAUUUCUACUCAGGUGUUUUACUCCCAGUGAGGCAAUGUUGGGUUUUAUGGUCUGUAAGACAUGUUUUCAUGGUAAAUGAAGCUGUUCCUGGGGGAAGUGGCCACUGUGGGUUCAUCCUGGAGAUGCUCAGAGAAUGUUCCAAGGUUUGCAGACAUCACUUUGCCAGUCCUUGGUACAGUCCUUCUUUUGCUGGUCACUUGAGAGUGAUGUUGACACAGCAGGUUUACCUACCCUAUUACAUACCUGUCCCAGCAUUACUUUUUGUCUUCCCAACCUGGAUUUAUCACUGGUCCUUCCUUUUUGAAAUGCAAACUUUUUACAGCAAAGAGUCGUCUAAUCAUUGUCCAAUGACACCUCUCCCAGAAUAUUGCCUUUCCUGCUGUCUCCAUCACUUGUUUGGCGGAACCAAGUGACAUUUUCCUGCAUAGCUUUCACUUGCCUGCUCUCCUGGAGAAACAGCCAGAUCUCCACAUCUGCCUACCUCAUUCUGCCUACCCUGUGCCUGGGUCAGGAUGGGCAGCAGACCUCUGUCCACAGACCGACUUUCUGCAUCCAACUCAUCUGUAUUAUACCCAGAACUGUCCUACUGUCUCCCCUCCUCUUCUCUCUUCACAUUCCCUUCUUUUUUUUUUGUCUCUUUUCCCUCUCAACAGGUGCUGACAGAACAUUUUCUCGCUGUAGUUCUGUUGGAUUUCAAAGGCCUGGAUUUCACUCCUCACCCACCAUCUCUGCUACGUGCUCUCCAAGCUGAAAUAUCUCCAUUCAUUUAGUAAGCCAUAGAAAGAAACAAAGCAAUGGAGAGGGACAUAAGUAUGCCAGAAUUCAGUGCUCUGACAGCGCAGUUAACUAACAUUGACCUCUGGCUACUUCUGUGGCUGCUGCGUAACGCUUUAUACUGAGUGCUUCUUUUGUUUUGUCUCCAGCCCAAGAAUUCAUUUUUUAAUAAGAAAACUCAGAAGUGCCUCUGAAGGGUAUGGGCUCAUGAGCAUCACUGCUGUGUUGCAGACGUGCAAGCUUCACUCGCUCACAUGGUCCACGGACUUCAGCUAUUUGGAUUAAUGAGGGUCCAGUGUAGUCCUUGCUUUCUCCUCUUGUGAGAUGCAUGCAAUAGAGCCUCGGAUCUGCCUUUGCCUCUUCAGGCAUCUUCUCCAUGCCAUCACGUGUGCACGCCGCUGCUUGGAGAGCCUUGGAGAAGAGGAGGAACAGCUCUCAACAUGCGAAGCGAGUGGCUGGUUUACUUUCCUCGUUGCUCCCAUGGCUGGAGGAGCAGCACACUUCAUGUGCCUGCCUCCAGUCCCUAGAGUUGGCUGUUAAAUCUGGCUCUAGCUAUUUGUUCUUGAAAGUCAGUCUUGCCUUGCUGCCUUUCAUGGGCCCUCUUCUGCUUUAUACCUGUCCUCAUGCCCAAGGGUUCUGUUUGUUGCCAAACUGCUUCUUCCCAUUUUCCCUUUGCCCCUUCACCCAGCUCUCCUGCAGGUAGGUUUUCCAGUUGCAUACAUCCUAGUCCCUUUCCCAGGACAAAGGAGCCCCAUGUUUUCUGCCUGGCUGCCUCCCAUCUCCUCUAUUGCCCAUAACUUGCUCCCUUUUCCCAGCACGAAAGAGAAUCCUCGUUUCUUGGCACAGAUAACCAAUUGUCUCUGUCUUCAGCUAUUGCAGAAAGGAAAAGAAAUUUGCUUCACCUAUGCACGAGGGCUGCAGGAUGGUGAGCGCUCCUCCUAGCAAGGUCCUUUGCUCUCCCAGGGCUGUGGGAGGUGUUCUGGGACUCUGUUCUCAGAUCUCAGCCCCACAGUGAGAACUGAUGCAUGUCCCAAGUCAUUGCACUUCUCCUUACUCCUGUUCUUGGCCUGGCUGUCUGGGUGCUCAUUCCUCUGGCUACCUUGGAGCAUCUUUAUUUCCCUUUGACCUUCACAAAGCCAGCAGUGCUUCCUCUGGGAAGGAGGAAGAAGACUAAGUUCAUCAAGACCCACAUCCCUAUGGUCUUUCAUGAGCCAAAGUGGUCUUUCAUGACCCAAAGUGGCAGGGACCCAUGUCCCUUCCCACCCUGGGACUGGGAUUUGGAUGCAGUGGGUGCUGCUGUUAGAGCUGUGCAAACCUGACCUUCCUGAAGGGUUUAGGAUCCUAAAUCACACAGACUAAUCAAAAAAUAAAAUCCAGGCUCUCAAGUGUCUCAAGCAGUUAAGCUCAUUUUGUGGAGAGAUGUGAGAUAUUUCUAAAUGGAAUCAGGAAUGGAGGAAGCAGCUGGGUAUGUUUUAAUUCUAAUUUUUCCUAUAUAUCAAGCGUUAAAUUAACAAGUGAGGGAGAACACUACCGAGGAGCUAUCUGCUGUUUAGACAGGCAUAUCAGGAUAAAAUUACUCUGUGCUUGCCCGUGGUUUGUCUGGAUACUCCUGGAACUGCACCAGUAAAGAGUAUAAUUGCACUGCUCUUUGAGGCUUCGGGUUUGGUGCUGCGAAUCCUCCCUGCCGUCUGACUAUGCAAGGCUUGCUUGAUGACGUUAGGUAAUUAUUCCCUGUAGGCAAUUUCAACUGAGGCAGGACACAAAGCUCCUCAGAGGAUGUGCUAUCAGGAGAAAAGGGAGUAUGGCUCAAGCAAAGGAUUAAUAUUUUUAGCUGUAAAGACGGUUGGCUCGAAUGUUUGUUGGAGAGAGGCUUUCCUUGCUGUGUUUCAGUAUGGGAGACUAAUUGGCACAGGAAAGACACUGCAGUUUAGACGAUGAUGUCUACUUCUGAAUGACCAAUGUAAUUCACAGGCUACCUCAAUAUCAUCAACACUUUUUAAAGCAUUAUUUUUAUUUUACAACAGUGAGAAUAAGGAUCGAUACCAUUGUUUCCAAAUUAGAGUAAAUGAGUUUAAAAUCAGAGCCCUCCCCAGCACUGGUUGCCGCAUGAUAUUGGGCACUGAGGGCUUUGGGUUAGUUCACAUCUGUACACAUCACUUCAAUGGAGCACCACAGGCACAGCUGGCUGUACCUCGUUGGUGCACUUUGAGUACUCGUGUCUCUGCGUUCAUAUUGACUUUCACUGAAGCUCAGACAUAAAAUGCUUCAGUGCACAGAAUAUGAUAUUUUUUCUCAAUCCGAGUCCCAGGAGAACUCACUCCAGGCAUCCCCACUCAAUGAAAUAUUGUCUCUGCCGCCAGGGAAAGCAAUCUCUUGAGAAACAAGCCUGGAUGUAGAGGAAGGGAUCAUUUCCCAGCAACCUUUUGAUAUCGUCAAACCUUCAAUCUUUUGGUGAUUUUUGGACUUGGCGACAACAUCGGACCGGCCUUGGGCACUAAGUGCUUCAUUUCCAUCGACAUUUAUUAUUAUUCCACUUGCAUAUCUCAGAUCAUUGAGUGGUGGAGGUAGCAUUAACGUUCCCAUUUUAUAGAUGGAAUAGUUGUGUUGCAGAGAGAUACCUGGACAGCCUGGGACGUGGGUACAAGUCUGCUCUGGGUAGCUGAGUUCCUCUUGCAAUGCCAGCAUGCUUAAAGGAUACUUGUGUGCAUAUGUCCUGAUAUUUGUUAUUCAGGUUCGUAGAUGUAGCAGAAAUGCUAAGUCAUGGCCUGAAGCAGUGAUUGAGCACCUGGUGGAAGGCAGGGCCAACCCAGGGGAGCUCAGGUGCAUGCAAUGUACCUGAGUGACUGGAAGGGUGGAGCCAGGAUGCACCCCUUCCCAGACCUCAUUUAAGGGUUGGCAGUGGAGAUGGGGGCAUAUCACUGGCUUUCUCUUCUUACCUGAGGCCUUCUGAAGGUAAGCAGCUCUUUCCUUUGUUUCUGCAUCCAUGGCUGCUACACUUGGGCUUAUCCUUGCUUGCUGCAGCCUGAGACUCUGCUACACUGCUGUUAUUGCUGUGUUUUCCAUCACGUUAUAGCAUUACAGUAGAUUGUCACUUAUUUUCUUUGUUUCCAAGGUCUUCUGAAAAUGAAUGUGGUGGCUGCUGGUGGGACACACAGCCUUUUCCUUGCUCCAGCUUUAGUGCAGUAUCUAGUACUUACUAGGGCCGUGCUGAUCCUCAAGCCAGGAAUAUUUAGGACUGCCUCUAAGCUUGUCAUUAAUGAAUAUCAUGACAAUUAACCUUAUAGACAGGCAAGAAAAGGCAGAGCUGGUUUAAAUUCCUGGCUUGUUCCUCAUGAGGUUGCAAGCUUAUUUAAUGUCACAUCAAACUCCAAAAGGCCAUGUAGAUUUAGAGCUCACAAGAUCAUCACUUUCUUGCUGUCCACCAGACUGUCCUUGAACUCAUGUGUUUGCUGCUCCCAGUUGCAAAAUUUCAUAGGCAAGCAUGAAUGUUUUCAGGAGGAAAAGCCCAGCUUUUAUAGACUAAACUUGGAUUUUAAUUAAAAACCUUAACUUCUGCAAAUUCCUAUCCAUCUAAAAGGAUGCCAGCAUGCCUGCUCCUUAUGCAGGGGUGAGCUGGGGCUGCCCUCUGCUCUUGCUCAGAAGGACUUCUCCUUUGAAGGGGAAGAAGCCACAGGGACCACAUUUGCCUGUAGUCAGCAACAUCUGCUGAAUGAACUAGAAGCUGAUACUCACACAAAUCUAAUCCACAAGUAAGAAGUGGGAGGGCACAGUUGUGCAGUAGGCAAAUGAAAGGUUAUCACUUAAAGCCUGCUUCUGAUUUUAUUUCAUUAUUUUCCAGCCCAUUCCUCCAAAAUCCCACAUUCUGGACUGUUUCCCAUCAGUACUUGUUUUCCUUUCUCUUUGCAGCAUACUUCCAUGCUCUACAGAGUCUCGAAGAAAGCAGCAGCAGGAAGCUUAGACUCCAUUUCCCACUCUUUCCCAGCUAUAAUGAAGAUGUCCUGCUAGCAGAUGUUAUAUGACAGCAUCCUAGUAUUCAUUGUAAUACUGGGGAAGUAGCAGCAGAAAUGGAAAGCCCCUUGGUCUUCAAGAAACCAGCAUCUACUGGAGAGGACAGGGCUGGAGAUGCUGCCAAAAGAGCCACAGAAGCAUGAUGCAAACUAUGAAUUUCAAAGGUGUUUCCCAUGGAUGCUCCUGCAGGCAGUGAGGAGGCCAGAGAUGUGAGUGUCACAAAAGCAGCAAAGAAGCAAAACAUCUCCUUUGGGCUCCUGUGGCUGUGUUUGCCCCCAAGUGCCAGCCCAUGCUCUGUUUUCUCCAGUGGUCAAGCCCUGCUGGAUUGACCAAAAGUUGCUCCAUCCCUGGGGUCAGUCAGAGCCCCAUGGGACUAUGGGAAAGGCUUGGUGAGUGGGAGCGUUCUACAUUGAGGGCAGGCAGGGUGGUGAUGUUCAUGGCUUCAUCAAGGGCUCCUUUUUCUUUGCAAAGAACUCUUGCUUGCUCGCUCAGCUUGCUGCACUGGUGAGAAUGUACUUACUGGCUUAACUACUGAGAUAUCUCUAAUGGAGAAUUUAAUCUCCAGAGCGUUGCUGUCUCUUAUGUUUCCUGUGUCUUAGGUGCUCAAUAAAUGCUUGCUAAAGUAA
ensembl:lncRNA